rnacentral:lncRNA from 1 species
UCCAACCACGCUGCUUCCGAGGAGGGAAUGUUCCCACCACUUUCGUCUUCUCUCCAGCCAGCCAUUCCAUACUCACUGUUCCAACCUGUGUUUCACCCAUGACCAAACCAACCCCAAGGUUAGAUCUUCGACACGCUGAUCAAUUGUAUGAUUCCUAGUUUGUAGUCACUUCAAUUCGUACACACCAAUUCUAGUAAUAUUGAGGUCUCACUAAGUAGCCAGUUUUGGAAAAACCUAAUACUAGUAAAGAAUCCGACUCUACAGUCAUGGAGAUUUGAGAUUUCUCUCAUCAAAAAUUGGAUAAAUCCCUAGUAGCAUCCUAAAAUCUCACCUGAAAGACUAUAAUUUAAUAAUCAAAGAUAAUAACUUUCCGAAACGUAGGAUAACUCGAAAAGCGAAAACGGGUACAGAAAGGAAAUUGAAAUCGAUUGAGUACCUCUUUCUCGGGAGCACAUUCUUCGUCAUUACAAUCAGCA